rnacentral:rRNA from 1 species
AACGAACGCUGGCGGCAGGCUUAACACAUGCAAGUCGAACGCCCCGCCAGGGGAGUGGCCGACGGGUGAGUAACGCGUGGGAACAUACCCUUUUCUACGGAAUAGCUCUGGGAAACUGGAAUUAAUACCGUAUACGCCCUACGGGGGAAAGAUUUAUCGGGGAAGGAUUGGCCCGCGUUGGAUUAGCUAGUUGGUGGGGUAAAGGCCUACCAAGGCGACGAUCCAUAGCUGGUCUGAGAGGAUGAUCAGCCACAUUGGGACUGAGACGCGGCCCAAACUCCUACGGGAGGCAGCAGUGGGGAAUAUUGGACAAUGGGCGCAAGCCUGAUCCAGCCAUGCCGCGUGAGUGAUGAAGGCCUUAGGGUUGUAAAGCUCUUUCACCGAUGAAGAUAAUGACGGUAGUCGGAGAAGAAGCCCCGGCUAACUUCGUG